rnacentral:rRNA from 1 species
GAAGGUGGCCUGUGAGGGUUGCUGGAGGUAUCAGAAGUGCGAAUGCUGACAUAAGUAACGAUAAAGCGGGUGAAAAGCCCGCUCGCCGGAAGACCAAGGGUUCCUGUCCAACGUUAAUCGGGGCAGGGUGAGUCGACCCCUAAGGCGAGGCCGAAAGGCGUAGUCGAUGGGAAACGGGUUAAUAUUCCCGUACUUGGUGUUACUGCGAAGGGGGGACGGAGAAGGCUAUGUUGGCCGGGCGACGGUUGUCCCGGUUUAAGCGUGUAGGUGUGUGUUCCAGGUAAAUCCGGUUCACUUUAACACUGAGGCGUGAUGACGAGGCACUACGGUGCUGAAGCAACAAAUGCCCUGCUUCCAGGAAAAGCCUCUAAGCAUCAGGUAACAUCAAAUCGUACCCCAAACCGACACAGGUGGUCAGGUAGAGAAUACCAAGGCGCUUGAGAGAACUCGGGUGAAGGAACUAGGCAAAAUGGUGCCGUAACUUCGGGAGAAGGCACGCUGACACGUAGGUGAAGUGAUUUACUCACGGAGCUGAAGUCAGUCGAAGAUACCAGCUGGCUGCAACUGUUUAUUAAAAACACAGCACUGUGCAAACACGAAAGUGGACGUAUACGGUGUGACGCCUGCCCGGUGCCGGAAGGUUAAUUGAUGGGGUCAGCGCAAGCGAAGCUCCUGAUCGAAGCCCCGGUAAACGGCGGCCGUAACUAUAACGGUCCUAAGGUAGCGAAAUUCCUUGUCGGGUAAGUUCCGACCUGCACGAAUGGCGUAAUGAUGGCCAGGCUGUCUCCACCCGAGACUCAGUGAAAUUGAACUCGCUGUGAAGAUGCAGUGUACCCGCGGCAAGACGGAAAGACCCCGUGAACCUUUACUAUAGCUUGACACUGAACAUUGAGCCUUGAUGUGUAGGAUAGGUGGGAGGCUUUGAAGUGUGGACGCCAGUCUGCAUGGAGCCGACCUUGAAAUACCACCCUUUAAUGUUUGAUGUUCUAACGUGGACCCGUAAUCCGGGUUGCGGACAGUGUCUGGUGGGUAGUUUGACUGGGGCGGUCUCCUCCUAAAGAGUAACGGAGGAGCACGAAGGUUGGCUAAUCCUGGUCGGACAUCAGGAGGUUAGUGCAAUGGCAUAAGCCAGCUUGACUGCGAGCGUGACGGCGCGAGCAGGUGCGAAAGCAGGUCAUAGUGAUCCGGUGGUUCUGAAUGGAAGGGCCAUCGCUCAACGGAUAAAAGGUACUCCGGGGAUAACAGGCUGAUACCGCCCAAGAGUUCAUAUCGACGGCGGUGUUUGGCACCUCGAUGUCGGCUCAUCACAUCCUGGGGCUGAAGUAGGUCCCAAGGGUAUGGCUGUUCGCCAUUUAAAGUGGUACGCGAGCUGGGUUUAGAACGUCGUGAGACAGUUCGGUCCCUAUCUGCCGUGGGCGCUGGAGAACUGAGGGGGGCUGCUCCUAGUACGAGAGGACCGGAGUGGACGCAUCACUGGUGUUCGGGUUGUCAUGCCAAUGGCACUGCCCGGUAGCUAAAUGCGGAAGAGAUAAGUGCUGAAAGCAUCUAAGCACGAAACUUGCCCCGAGAUGAGUUCUCCCUGAGACUUUAAGUCUCCUGAAGGAACGUUGAAGACGACGACGUUGAUAGGCCGGGUGUGUAAGC